CCUGAUAUUCACACUAUUACAGAUGUAGUUCUUUUUAGGAAAACUCAAACUCAAAACCUUUGUGUUUAGAAUGGCUUUUAAUACGUAGUAGUGGUGUGACAAUUGAACUCUCUUCCUCCUGUUUCUAUGUAACCUUUUCAGAUUUUACUGUUUUCUGUUUCAUUCUUUUUGUUGUAUGUUAUGUUAUAUAUAAUGUGUUUUU